rnacentral:rRNA from 1 species
CACUUUGUCUUUAUGGCAAAUGUGAGAUGCAGUGUAUGGAAUGUCAAAUUUCUAGUAUGAGAAAUUAACGAUUUAAGUCCUUCUUAAAUGAGGCCAUUUACCCAUAGAGGGUGCCAGGCCCGUAUAACGUUAAUGAUUACUAGAUGGCAUUUCCAAAGAGUCGUGUUGCUUGAUAGUGCAGCACUAAGUGGGUGGUAAACUCCAUCUAAAACUAAAUAUAACCAUGAGACCGAUAGUAAACAAGUACCGUGAGGGAAAGUUGAAAAGAACUCUGAAUAGAGAGUUAAAUAGUACGUGAAACUGCUUAGAGGUUAAGCCCGAUGAACCUGAAUAUCCAUUAUAGAAAAUUCAUCAUUAUGAUUUUAAUAUUAAUAAUAUUAUAAUAAUAGUGUGCAUUUUUUCUAUAACGGACAUUGUAAUCUAUUAACAUAAAUAUAUUUAUCAUAAGAUCAAUGAUGCGUAAGUUUAUUCAAAUUAUUUUGCUUGCAAUUUAACAUAGAAUAAAUGCUCUUGAUUUGAUAAAGUGUUGAUAGAUUUAUUGUAUAUAGUGCUUAAAUAUUUGUAUUUUAUAAUAGCAUAUUAAUCAUUGAUUUUUAUGUUUAUUAUAUGCACUUAUAUGAUUAACAAUGCGAAAGAUUCAGGAUACCUUCGGGACCCGUCUUGAAACACGGACCAAGGAGUCUAACAUAUUUGCAAGUUAUUGGGUAUCAAAACCUAAUAGCGAAAUUAACAUGACUUUUAAUGGGAUUAGUUUUUAGAUUAUUUAUAGUCUAUUAAUUCAAUCCCGGGGCGUUCUAUAUAGUUAUGUAUAAUAAUAUUUAUAUUAUUUAUAUCUCUAACUAGAGCGUACCUUGAGCAUAUAUGCUGUGACCCGAAAGAUGGUGAACUAUACUUGAUCA